UGAUUUCUCACUAACACUCUGUUUUUUCCCCCUUUAGCCAGAUCAAAGAAACCCGGCCCGGCCCGAAAACCCUCACCAUUUCUUCAUCAUCUUCGCCAUUUAGAACCAGAAAAAAAUAUUCGUUGGGACCAGAACCGGAAAUUAAAGAGGGGAAAAAGGACAAAAAAAACUUUGCACUAAAUUUCACAAACCGACGUGCCCUUUUGUGUGUAGCCAUUUUGUGCUGCAGUGUU
rnacentral:lncRNA from 1 species